AUUGAACGCUGGCGGCAGGCUUAACACAUGCAAGUCGAGCGGGGUGAUGGUGCUUGCACUAUCACUUAGCGGCGGACGGGUGAGUAAUGCUUAGGAAUCUGCCUAUUAGUGGGGGACAACAUCUCGAAAGGGAUGCUAAUACCGCAUACGUCCUACGGGAGAAAGCAGGGGAUCACUUGUGACCUUGCGCUAAUAGAUGAGCCUAAGUCGGAUUAGCUAGUUGGUGGGGUAAAGGCCUACCAAGGCGAUGAUCUGUAGCGGGUCUGAGAGGAUGAUCCGCCACAAUGGGACUGAAACACGGCCCAGACUCCUACGGGAGGCAGCAGUGGGGAAUAUUGGACAAUGAGCGGAAGCCUGAUCCAGCCAUGCCGCGUGUGUGAAGAAGGCCUUAUGGUUGUAAAGCACUUUAAGCGAGGAGGAGGCUACUUUAGUUAAUACCUAGAGAUAGUGGACGUUACUCGCAGAAUAAGCACCGGCUAACUCUGUGCCAGCAGCCGCCGUAAAAC
rnacentral:rRNA from 1 species